rnacentral:rRNA from 1 species
UACGUAGGGUGCAAGCGUUGUCCGGAAUUAUUGGGCGUAAAGAGCUCGUAGGCGGUUUGUCGCGUCUGCUGUGAAAACGCGAGGCUCAACCUCGCGCCUGCAGUGGGUACGGGCAGACUAGAGUGCGGUAGGGGAGACUGGAAUUCCUGGUGUAGCGGUGAAAUGCGCAGAUAUCAGGAGGAACACCGAUGGCGAAGGCAGGUCUCUGGGCCACUACUGACGCUGAGAAGCGAAAGCAUGGGGAGCGAACAGG